CUCAUAUGACGAAGCGGUCGCUGGUUGGAAAAGGGUUGAGGUCCGCUCAGGACGCUUGGACGUAAAAGGGGCGGGAGAUAGGGUUGUCCCCGCCUCUCGCGUUACCUUAUUCGGCUCUGGGUGUGCUUUUCAGAACCUGCGCCUUGGCUAUUGGUUAGACACCAUGUCUGUCAUCAACGUUACGCUCGCUGAUUGGACAACGUUCACUCCCCGCCCCCUGACGGACACGAUUAGCCAAUGGGUAGAAAGUAGGUGGGGACAAUGUCUAAGGUCAUUCUGCUUGUAGGAAGGAAGGGAGGCAUUGGGCACGUGUCCUAGGUUUGCCCUUGCUGGAAAUGUGGAGGGCAGACCACUACAUGGAUCUGCAAGCAUAUCCAACCACCAUCUUGAGGGGGAGAGAGGCCAGGCCUGGAAGAAAAAGAGCCCUCCUCCAACCACCAUCUUGAGGGGGAGAGAGGCCUGGCCUGGAA